GAAGACUUAUACACACCCAUGGUAGAGGCGUUCAACGCGAUACGAGAAGGGAACCACAUCCCCAGACAAGCCCUAACAGCCCACAUCACUAUUAUCCCCAAGGACGGCAAAGAUAGGGAACAAUGCGGAAACUACAGACCGAUAUCACUAAUAAAUUGCGACAUUAAACUACUGGCCAAAAUCCUUGCAACCCGACUUACAAAACAUAUCCCUUCACUGGUCCACCCAGACCAGGUAGGGUUCGU